ACGAUGAAGCCCUUCGGGGUGGAUUAGUGGCGAACGGGUGAGUAACACGUGGGCAAUCUGCCCUUCACUCUGGGACAAGCCCUGGAAACGGGGUCUAAUACCGGAUACGACCUGCCGAGGCAUCUCGGCGGGUGGAAAGCUCCGGCGGUGAAGGAUGAGCCCGCGGCCUAUCAGCUUGUUGGUGGGGUAAUGGCCUACCAAGGCGACGACGGGUAGCCGGCCUGAGAGGGCGACCGGCCACACUGGGACUGAGACACGGCCCAGACUCCUACGGGAGGCAGCAGUGGGGAAUAUUGCACAAUGGGCGCAAGCCUGAUGCAGCGACGCCGCGUGAGGGAUGACGGCCUUCGGGUUGUAAACCUCUUUCAGCAGGGAAGAAGCGCAAGUGACGGUACCUGCAGAAGAAGCGCCGGCUAACUACGUGCCAGCAGCCGCGGUAAUACGUAGGGCGCAAGCGUUGUCCGGAAUUAUUGGGCGUAAAGAGCUCGUAGGCGGCUUGUCACGUCGGGUGUGAAAGCCCGGGGCUUAACCCCGGGUCUGCAUCCGAUACGGGCAGGCUAGAGUGUGGUAGGGGAGAUCGGAAUUCCUGGUGUA
rnacentral:rRNA from 1 species